UUAAUUGAAGAGUUUGAUCAUGGCUCAGAUUGAACGCUGGCGGCAGGCCUAACACAUGCAAGUCGAGCGGUAACAGAUUGAUAGCUUGCUAUCAAUGCUGACGAGCGGCGGACGGGUGAGUAAUGCCUGGGAAUAUACCCUGAUGUGGGGGAUAACUAUUGGAAACGAUAGCUAAUACCGCAUAAUCUCUUCGGAGCAAAGAGGGGGACCUUCGGGCCUCUCGCGUCAGGAUUAGCCCAGGUGGGAUUAGCUAGUUGGUGGGGUAAUGGCUCACCAAGGCGACGAUCCCUAGCUGGUCUGAGAGGAUGAUCAGCCACACUGGAACUGAGACACGGUCCAGACUCCUACGGGAGGCAGCAGUGGGGAAUAUUGCACAAUGGGGGAAACCCUGAUGCAGCCAUGCCGCGUGUAUGAAGAAGGCCUUCGGGUUGUAAAGUACUUUCAGUUGUGAGGAAGGCGUUGGAGUUAAUAGCUUUAGCGUUUGACGUUAGCAACAGAAGAAGCACCGGCUAACUCCGUGCCAGCAGCCGCGGUAAUACGGAGGGUGCGAGCGUUAAUCGGAAUUACUGGGCGUAAAGCGCAUGCAGGCGGUCUGUUAAGCAAGAUGU
rnacentral:rRNA from 1 species